rnacentral:lncRNA from 1 species
GAGCGAGCUGCGGCCGUGGCAGCUGCAGGGCUCCCGGCCCCGGAGCAUGCGCAGGAGCCGCCCCGGAGCCCCCCGCCGCCCCGCCCGCGGCGCCCCGCGCCCCGCCGCCAGGAACCUCAGCACCUUCUGUACUCCAGCCCGAGAAGAGAACUGAAAGUAAAAGCCAUCCUGAGCUUUGCCCCAGCCUUCCUGUUCCUCUGCUGGUUUCUUAGAAAUCAGCUGCCUGGGCUUCCAGCUGCCGCCUGGACUUCAUCUCUCACCGAAGAGCCCCCUCACCCUGGUGAGUGCCACACUAACCUCGGCAACAGGGCUGGAGGCCUGUGCCGGGGAGGGGGGCCCCCCCCAGGGAGCGUGGGGGUCAUGCGCUCAGCCCACAAACCUUUAUUCGCGCCUCCAGAGUGCUAGGUGUGGGGGAAGCAGGUGAAUCUGUGUGGCCCAGAGUUAGGAGGAGGGCUUAGGGAGGGGUUCACUGUCCCCGGAGUCGGGUGCCAACAGGUAGGUGGCUGCAGGGUUGGUGGAGGGCACCCGGAGACCAGUAAGUCAUGGGGUCCCUGGAAUCGUGGGGAGGAGGUUGGGAGAUGUGCAAUCAGGGGAGGCUCCCUGGAGGGGCCGCUGUCAGCCGCUUCAAGAGCCAGUGGGAAGGGGUUCACCUGGGCAGCCUUUGUGGGGAAGGGCAUCUGAGGCAUAGGGAACAGAAUAGUCAAAGUGACCUGUGUUAUUCCCCACAAAACAUAUAACUGCCCCCAAAGUACACACGUCUCUCCAUCUUUUGCAGGGGGAGAAACUACGACCUCAAAGAAGUAUGGUGGUUUGAUCUGGCCAGGACUCCCAGCUGGAGUGGAGAUCCAGAAGCAGUCUGCGUGUGCCCAGCCUCUCUCCUGAGCCAGACUCAAGGGGUACCCGGAUCCUCACCAUGUCUGUCUGGGAGCACACCCUCUGCCCCUGGCCCCAGGCUCCCACACACCCCGCUUAAACCCUCCACACCUUAAAGUGGCCUGCCUGGGUCACACAGCCUACUGCGGAGUCAGAGUCAGGAUUCAGGCCCAGGUCUGCGGGGCCUCAAAGGGCCCCCUCCUUCUUCUCCGUGAGGCAUCGGGUACCUUACAGAAAACAGACCUGAGCUGACAGUCUCUGUCCCCACAUUCUAAGGAGGGUGGACGGGACAGCAUGGAAAAAAAUCUUGGUGGCUGGAAAGUAGGGUCCACACUCAGCGCAUUGUGAGCCAGAGCUUUGCUCUCAGGGAACUACCCUGCUGGUUCUCGAUGGUCCCGGAGGGGCUUUCCGUCCCAGCACUGGCCGCAGGUGGAUGUGGACCAGACCUGGCUAAUCAGAGCACCCCAUACCUCAGUUGGUAAGCACACGACCUAAGCUGGAUCAAUCAGAGACCCUUCUGGAACUUUUGGGCUGGAACAAAUAGGAACCCUUUCCUUCUAACCUGGGCCCCCACUCCCACGCCUUCCCACCCCUGACAGUGGUUGUGUCCCAUUAUGUCAACAGAGAUGAAGAGACGGAGCAGGAGCCGGAGCCCUGAUGCCCUGUGUGAGCCCUGGAUCCAGCCAUACCUGAUCUCCACCUCCAGACUUACCUGUUACACAAACCACAGGUUUCCUUUUUUGGCUUAUCCUUGUCACUUAUGACAGUUAUGUUGCUGUCACUUGCAACGCUAAGAGUCAAAACAACCCUCUGGCCUGGAAGAGCGAGGACUAGUUUUGGCAGGAUCUGGGGCCCAUGGUGAUCCCCGCUCUCCCUGGUGUCUGCCCUCCAGGAAAGGUGGGUUGCAGACACUUCCACAUCCCCAGGGUCCACGGGUUUUGUUAAUAACCGACUUUUUUUUUUUAACUUUGGGGAAAAAAAUUCCACGUUUAAAAAAAAAAAAAGUUCCUUCCCAUUUUUUUUUGAACAGACUAUUUUUAGAGCAGUUUUAGGUUCACAUUGAAAUUGAGUGGAAAGCACAGAGUUUCCAUAUACCCACUGCUCCCACCCCACGCACUGCCUCCCCCACUACAACAUCCCACACCAAUCCACGUUCUUUCCUAACUUCCAUGUUUGUUUUUAAAUUUGUAAAGGAAUCUACCAAUCAUGCAUGUAUUAAGUGCCUUGGGUGUAUAUUUUUCUUCUGAUCGCUACAGAUUACAUAUGUUUUUUUUUUCCUUUAAAAAAGUUUUUAAAAAGGGACAACGUUCUUUAUGACCCAUAUUGGAAACCACUUUUUCCACUUAGCAUCUCAGGUGCCGAGCUCCAGGUCCCCGGCUGACAAGGUCAGGAGGACUGUGCCCAUUUGAACGUGAGGCCGCAGGGAGCGGGGCG